UACGGAGGAUGCGAGCGUUAUCCGGAUUUAUUGGGUUUAAAGGGUGCGUAGGCGGAUUUUUAAGUCAGCGGUAAAAUGUCCGGGCUCAACCCGGGCCGGCCGUUGAAACUGGGGAUCUUGAGUGGGCGAGAAGUAUGCGGAAUGCGUGGUGUAGCGGUGAAAUGCAUAGAUAUCACGCAGAACCCCGAUUGCGAAGGCAGCAUACCGGCGCCCUACUGACGCUGAGGCACGAAAGUGCGGGGAUCAAACAGG
rnacentral:rRNA from 1 species